ensembl:misc_RNA Y_RNA Y RNA
GGCUGGUCUGAAGGUAGUGAGUUAUCUCAACUGAUGUUCACAGUCAGUUACAGAUCAAGUGCCUUGUUUUACUUUUUCCCCUCUUCUCACUACUGCAUUUGACUAAUUAAAA